GUGCCUAUACAUGCAAGUCGAGCGGACAGAAGGGAGCUUGCUCCCGGAUGUUAGCGGCGGACGGGUGAGUAACACGUGGGUAACCUGCCUGUAAGACUGGGAUAACUCCGGGAAACCGGAGCUAAUACCGGAUAGUUCCUUGAACCGCAUGGUUCAAGGAUGAAAGACGGUUUCGGCUGUCACUUACAGAUGGACCCGCGGCGCAUUAGCUAGUUGGUGAGGUAACGGCUCACCAAGGCGACGAUGCGUAGCCGACCUGAGAGGGUGAUCGGCCACACUGGGACUGAGACACGGCCCAGACUCCUACGGGAGGCAGCAGUAGGGAAUCUUCCGCAAUGGACGAAAGUCUGACGGAGCAACGCCGCGUGAGUGAUGAAGGUUUUCGGAUCGUAAAGCUCUGUUGUUAGGGAAGAACAAGUGCAAGAGUAACUGCUUGCACCUUGACGGUACCUAACCAGAAAGCCACGGCUAACUACGUGCCAGCAGCCGCGGUAAUACGUAGGUGGCAAGCGUUGUCCGGAAUUAUUGGGCGUAAAGGGCUCGCAGGCGGUUUCUUAAGUCUGAUGUGAAAGCCCCCGGCUCAACCGGGGAGGGUCAUUGGAAACUGGGAAACUUGAGUGCAUAAGAGGGGAGUGGAAUUCCCCGCGUAUUGGCAAAAUUCGUUUACAGCUGGGGACAACAC
rnacentral:rRNA from 1 species